GUGGGGAAUAUUGGACAAUGGGCGAAAGCCUGAUCCAGCCAUGCCGCGUGUGUGAAGAAGGUCUUCGGAUUGUAAAGCACUUUAAGUUGGGAGGAAGGGCAGUAAGUUAAUACCUUGCUGUUUUGACGUUACCGACAGAAUAAGCACCGGCUAACUUCGUGCCAGCAGCCGCGGUAAUACGAAGGGUGCAAGCGUUAAUCGGAAUUACUGGGCGUAAAGCGCGCGUAGGUGGUUUUGUAAGUUGGAGGUGAAAUCCCCGGGCUCAACCUGGGAACUGCCUCCAAAACUACUGAGCUAGAGUACGGUAGAGGGUAGUGGAAUUUCCUGUGUAGCGGUGAAAUGCGUAGAUAUAGGAAGGAACACCAGUGGCGAAGGCGACUACCUGGACUGAUACUGACACUGAGGUGCGAAAGCGUGGGGAGCAAACAGGAUUAGAUACCCGGGUAGUCC
rnacentral:rRNA from 1 species